rnacentral:lncRNA from 1 species
UACCUUAGCAGAGCCAGGAAAUUAACCUUGGAAAAAACACCCAGCCUUCUUUCUGCUUUGCAAAUGGUGCAGAUAGGAAUGUUCUCGACCUGUCUCCUGGUGUACCUGCAUAAAGGUUCCAAAGGUUUGCAGAGAGGAAACACAUCAGGUGGACUAGAACGUGAUGUAUGUUAUCUUUAUGCUAAAGGUCGCUGUCAGAGCAUACAGCCACCUCACCACCCAUGUGUCUUUAUGUUCUUCAAGAACGUCUUGGCUAUUUGCCCUUGGCUAUUUACCUAAAAACAUUCUACACAUUUCUCUUUAUUUGGAACUCACUAUGGGUUCACAAGAAGUUGCAAAAAAGAAGUCAGAACCAUGGGUACUUUACCUACCCCCCCUUCCACCAGGGUAGUAUCUUACAAGUUCAUUGUCAUAGCCUGUUAUAUAGACAAUCAAGAAGGAGGUCUUUCUGGCAUAGAUAACUCUAUGGGGAGAAUCUGAGUUCCUGUUUGUAUCAGUGGAUCUACUCCAUUAGUGCUA